AUACGGAGGAUCCGAGCGUUAUCCGGAUUUAUUGGGUUUAAAGGGUGCGCAGGCGGCCAUUUAAGUCAGCGGUUAAAUCGUGGGGCUCAACCCCAUUCUGCCGUUGAUACUGGGUGGCUUGAUUGCGGUCGAGGUUGGCGGAAUUCGUUGUGCAGCGGUGAAAUGCAUAGAUAUGACGAAGAACACCGAUUGCGUAGGCAGCUGACCAGACCGCAAAUGACGCUCAUGCACGAAAGUGCGGGGAUCGAACAGGAUUAGAUCCCCUGGUAGUCCGCACAGUAAACGAUGAAUACUUGUUUUCGGCGAUAUAAUGUCGGAGGCAAAGCGAAAGCGAUAAGUAUUCCACCUGGGGAGUACGCCGGCAACGGUGAAACUCAAAGGAAUUGACGGGG
rnacentral:rRNA from 1 species